UCAAGUCUAUCAUUCCUGUCCGGGCAGUGUGCAAUUUCUAGUAAGUAGCCUUAAAUUUCUUGUGGUUUCUGACACAACGCAUGUACCUUCCAAUUAGAAGUCCUGAUUACAGAGCAGAAUGGUAGCCAGAUAAUUACUUUUGAUUUGAUUUAGUUGCUUAUUAAGUAGACUUAGUCACUUCACUUGCAUAACCAGUAUCUAAUGUGGUCUGCUGGUGGAUAUGGAUGUCUCCAUUACUCUUAGGGAUUUUUUCAGGGGGGCACAUCAGUAUAAACCCUGAUGGAAUUUAAUGAUUAACCAAUUUUUCUUCAAGAUUCAUUCUUACUCUAACCUUUUUUGUAUAAUGAGAUAUAAUUUAUGCUAAAAGCUUUUGUGAAUCAAGUCCUUUAAUCCAGUCUUUGAAGUUGCCAUAUCCUCUGACCAGAAAGAACCUAGAUUGUAGCUGAACGAACCCCUCUUCAGGUUACCCUCUGCCUGUGACCUGCUUCUACAGUCACUUUCUACAUUUCCUGUGGAAUAGCAUUCUCUAACUGAUGCCAGUGUUUUAGCUGUUUUUGCACAAAUCAUUUGAUGUCUAUGCACACAAACUGCAACAAUAUGACUGACUUGUAAACAUCUUCGAAGACAGUGCUGUAAUUUUCCAGUUGGUUUCAUAACACUUGAAAGAUAUAACCAAAUGUAAUUAUGCUGUACAAGGAUGAAUGGGACCCACAGAAUGCUAGAAAUAACUUAAUUACUCUUCCAUUUAUAGAUGCAGAAGAAAGGGUAAUAUUCAGAAAAAGGCACUUAGGCAACUUUAUUAGACCUAAAACACUACUGCUUCAUGUCAGGAAAAAACAGAACCAGAACAGGAGUAUUUAAAAGAAUGGUGGAAGUUGUGAGGGUAAAAAGUUUUCAUCAGCUAGUACCAGCAUACACGCCCUACCCUUCACAAAAUCUCCCUUUGGAUAUUCAGGGUCCACUUCAAUUUUGCCGUAUUUUCCUAAAUGUCUUAAGAAUUUACACCUUCCCUAUUUCCCCUUAGUCUGAGCCCUGGUCUAAUUUUAGUUGUCACAUCCAACCUUGCCUUCCAUCACUGGCCUGCUCAGGCUGAUCUCUAAGGGACGCCAAGAUCUGUCUGCCUUUAAGUAGCUGGCUUGACCUUCAGGCUUUCCCAAGAUCCACACCUUCUCAUCCAAAGCUAAUGCACCUUCUCCCUCCUGCCACUGCUCUUUCUGGAGACAGGGACACACUUCCCUUUCUUCUGCCACCCUACUCCCACCUCUCUGUAGGGCCUGACCCCAGUAGCUCUUCCAGUCCUAACUCACCCAGUCCAAUCCUCCCUGCUUUGAAAUGUUCUUAAAUCCAACUCAAGCCUUUCACAACUAAUUUAACGGAGGUCACCUGUGAUUUUCUUUGUAUUAUUCCAUCUGCUUCACUAGAGGUAAGUACUUAUUCUUUAAUACGUAAUUCUUUAAGCUUCUAGAAAGCAAGUCCAAACAUCACCAUAUAAAUCAUGUCUAGUGUCACAAGUAGAGGGCAUUAAGUUGUACAUGGCAAGGUUAGAGAAUAGCGCUUCAAUAACUAUUCUUCCUCAGUUUUUCCCAUAAAAUAAAUUACAUACUACAAAGAUAUCACAAAUGUGUUUCUGAUCUGUUUCUUCCUAUCCCUUUGUGUUCUGGAAUCAGUCAGAGAAUAAUUACCAAGCACCUUAGGUUUCUGCACUGUAGCAUGCAUUUGGUAUACACAGGAAAGAAUGAAGAUGGCACUAAACUGUUACCGAAUGAUUUAAUGUUUCAUGUGAAUGAGAGAGGGCAACAAGAUUUAUCUGAUCUGAUGACACCACUUUAUUUUGAGCUAAAUACUCUUUUAUGUGAGAUGGGCAGGGCGGGUUCCACUACUGCCUUCUUUGGCAACUUGGACAUUGUUCCCGAUUUUAUUAGCUGCACAGAGAGGUUCUUUCUCAGAUUUGUGUAUAAACAGGUACCAGUUUUGCUUUUAUUUCAUCAUAUUAACAUAUGACACAUCAGAAUGAGAAACACACAAUUUAACCAUUCAACAGCUUGUCUUACACCAAAAGAACACUAUAUUCAUAUUAAACAUUUAUACAGUCCUUCCACCUAACUUUACAAAUUUACUAAACCAUUUUCCAGCAUUUCUCACAUAGAAAUCUAGUUUUGCUCUUGAAAAUCAGCAUGCUUUGUCAUGCCAGUAGACUCCAGGGCUUCCCCUAUGACUGCAUGCUGAAGAGAGCCAGCCACACAGCUCCAGGGCUGCCCCUUGAGAUGGGAGCCUUAAUCCAAGAACUGAUUAUUUGACAUUAGUGACCAGGUUGUAGUGUACACUGCAUCACAGUUACAGGAAGGAAGGUGACCAUGGCCAAGAGAAACCCCACAUGAUGGAAGGCAAGUUUCUACCGAUACAUCUCUUAUCAAAAACCAAGCCCCCGUAUCCUCCAGAGACAUACUUAACAUUAGAGCUAUUGCUUUCGUUUCUUAAAGACAUUUCACAGUUGUGACCAGACUCUGGAAGCAGUGAGCUGUUACAUAUUUGGUGUGUGCAUAAAUAACACAUCAAAAAUUACUGUGUAAACCCUUGAGAAUGUCUGAUUAUAUCAAAGAUUAAAAUUUUCAGCAACUCUUUAUAUAAAAACUAACUCAUCAUUUAACAGAUAUGGCUUGCUGCCUUCAUUUUAUACUCAGCACAUUAUUUGAGCAUAACCAAUUAUGUCUGUGAUGCUCAAGAAUCCUCAUGGUUAAGUUAGGCAGUUUUGAAACGUCAUUCUUUGCUGGUUUUAGCAGUCGCCAUAGAAACAGUAAGUCACAUCCUAGUCAAAGGACUGUCCAUUUCUCACAGAAAAACCUGAGAUAUGAGUCAGCAACUACCUACACUUACAGUAAAGGAAAGAACAAUUAUGACACCCACCCCCUCAAAAAAAAAAAAAAAAAAAAAAAGCUGCUGACAUGAAUUAAGCCUUCAAAAGAGGACCCUACUGUAAUUGAUAAAACUCGAGCCAGGGAAUUUAAAAGCAGAUAUGUCCUACCACUUGUAUACUUGUUCUAAUCACCUCAUAGUCUCAGCUGCCAGGAUUGAUUCCAUGCAGUGAUUGUAGCUCAAGGGCUGAGAGACCACCUCACUCUCACUCCAUUUUGAUGUGCACCUUCUACUAAAAGUGCUGGAGAUAACUUUUGAGAAUAGCAUGGCUAUGGCUUUCCAUGCUACUAGCAACUAAACAAAAUUCACAAGCCUUUUCCUCACCUUCCUCUACCAGCUAUUUUAUUCUGAACAUUCACUGCUUACUAAAGCCCCUCUCAGCCCCAUCAAGAAACUUGAAAAUCUGAGGAAGUUAUAGAAAUACCACCCUCAUUGCAUGCCAAGGUGGGGAAAACCAUUGAGAAAGUAAUUUCCUACUUGUCCUCAGGAGUUUUAUCUUCCCUAAUCUCCACAGUUUUUCUCCCUCUUGGUAGUUUCCUAUAAAAUUCUGCCUUAAUGUUGAGUUUUUACAGAAUGUAUCCAUACAGUGAAACAAAUGGAAAACAUCUACUUUGGCUGAGAAUUUGAAGGUGCUGCUCUUCUGCUACCAACCCUAAUAAAUUCACAUUUGGCUCUAAACCAAGUUAAUCUUUAAAGGAUUAACAAUCCCAUUUUAAACAAUUCUUUGAUUUAUGAAGAGAAAGAGAGCGAGACUUGUUUAGCCUCCCAAGUUUAGCUUAAACCAUUAUGCUGCCAGAUUCCCGGCUGUUAAAUUGAAUCUUAAAAGGCUUCCUUUCUCUUUCUUCAUAAAGCUGAGAAGAAAAAAUUAGUUACCUCCAUCCAGGCCCACCUGGAAAUCUGUGUACAGAUGGUCUGAAUUGGUUUGAAGAGUGUGACUAGCUACCAACCUAUUUACAAGGUUUAGAAAACGGGCUACCAGACGUGGGUAGUGGUGAAAGCCCCAUCUUUACUGUCUGAGGUACUGGGUUUGCUCUAAAGUAGAUCUUGGCAAGUCCCCUAACAGUCUGUCCAGCAGAAUGAGCCGAGUGCCACUCAGCUGUUAGGUGAGUGUGAAUUGGUGAAUCAGCCUCUGGUGUGCUCAUUUCUUCUGGAUUUGCUAUUAGGUUUCUGUCCCUAACAGGGUCUACCCACCUGACCCACAAGCUGGCUCAGUCUCAGCGCUAAGGUGCACUAUGGAAGGGACUGGACAAAGACUAGUAGUUGAGAUCUCUUUGUAGCACAACAUGAAAAUGGUAGUGGAUUUUGUCCUCUUAACGCCAAAUAAAACUUGCUUGUGUAAGAACAAGAGGAUGUGCAAUUCGUUGCAUAAAAUUGCUUCACCUGUCGGGGGAAAUCUAGCAUCUGCCCUUCCACUGUUGUUGAGAGAAAUGUUAGCUGAUCUCCCAGAUGCCGAUGUCAAGAGAGAGCUCUGUUGAUCCAUAUUUUCCUUUUACACCGUAGCUCCAUUUUCCAAAAAUAUAUAUGUAUAUACAUAUAUAUAUUUCAGAUUUACAGGGAAUAUUCUUGUGAACAAGAAAAAAAUGUUCUGAAUAGAAAUCACAAGUGUCUCUCUUCUCAGGAGACCUCAAUGAUUUCCAUGCUGCCUGAAAAGCUAGACUGACUGCCCACUUUCCCCAGUUCUUCCCGCGACCUGUUCUCUGACAUUAUGCUCUCUCCAAAUUCCAUCUGGCAGCUUCUACGUUUAAACUGCUUUUCAAAGGGGCUCUCUUCAUGCCAGCUUCGCCGGGAGUCAGCUCUGUCACUUGGCUUCUGCCGCCGGCGCACAGAAUAGACCUGGUCGCUGCAAGUGGGCAGCUGGCUACAGCUGUAGGCAGAGUAACUGGCACUGCCUCCGUAGAUGGCUGAGGCAGAGUAGAAGUGAGAGGACUCGGUGGCAAAAUACCAGCUAUUGGCCAAGGAAGGGGUAGAAGUCUGGGGAGCCAAGAUAUCUGAGUGCCAGCCCUUGAGACCCAGGCCAGCCGCAGACUUCGCAAGGUGUUGCUGGCUGGUAGAAAGGCCAAAAAGGAAGUUGGUGUGGUAGUUAUCCUCCACACUCCCACUUCGAUGUAAUGGAGAUAAGAGGGACCUUUGGGUGGUACUGCUGUUGCUGGUUCUUACUGUGUGUAAUCGCUUGCUCUGGCUGUCUGAAGGCCUGCUAGUCUGGGGCAUCUUGGGGAUAUUGGCUUCCUCCUUAUCUGGGCUGGUUUCUGGAGUCUGCUCUGACACUUCCUGAACUGGGGAAAACUGGCAUAGCUUGUUGGUCCCAUCCAGAGCACUGGAAGGUUUGUAGUAUUCCAAAGCAUCCUCUGAUGAGGAGAAACCAUGCAAAGAUGCUGCCAUACUGGCUGAGUACGAAACUGAUUUGAUAUCCAGAGAGAAGGAACGCUUGAGCUUAUUGCUGUCUUCCAGCUUGUCUGAGGACAGGUGGAGCCCAUUGAGCGCCUGGACCAGCGGACUGUCUUCCAGCAGUGAUGGCUGUCUGCUAGGUAGACUGGCAGGAUGCAGAGGCCUUUGCCCUGCUGCCUCUGAGGUAGCAGAGUUGGCACAGGGUGGGCCGAGGGACAUCUCACUUUUCUGUCCACCCUCUGAAACAGCAGGGACAGGUUCAUUUGGCUUCUCCAUGUGCAGCAGCUUGAGUUUGCUUUUUGGCCCUGAUGCUCCCAUCUGGUUCUUAAUCUUCUUCUCGUAGUCUAAGAGUUGGCCCAGAAAAUUGAAGUUUGGAGAUAUAGUAGGUCUUUUUUCUUUAACAAAUCUAUGAUGAGAAGAAAAAAACAACUAAAAACCUGAUUUUCAAACUAUGCUUUAUCUGAAGAAUACUAAGUUAAUAAAUGAGAUAAGGAAUUAUUCAGUAGACCCUCCCAAAUACCUUUGAAAGAUAAAUGGGCUAAAAGUUCAGGGAGAUGCCUCGAGGUCAAGAAUACAAAGGAAGUCUGCCUUGGGAUGGCUUUAGAGCAUGUCCCUGGAGCAUGCUCUUACAUAGGGUCAGGCCCUUAAAAUUCUGCUUUUGGCCUCCUUGUUUUCAAGGACCCAAAGUUUCCAUUGCCAUUGAUAGAAUAUUCUCUCCUCGAAAGAAUAUUCUCUCCUCCCACCAUGGACACACACACACACACCAAUGCUACUAUCAGAAAUACAUUUUAACAUGUAUUUCCAAUGUCAUGCCCUUUCAAAGUCCCUGUAGUCACUUCCUUAGCACAGUUCACAUUUUUAAUUAAUGAGAGAAAAAGAGGGUACCAGAUGGUCAGAAUCUCAAAGCACAACGUUUCUGACUUCCUUCUCUGUACUCAACAUGCUAGAGUAACCAGCUGCAAAGUGAUCUGUGUGUGCAAGGCACCAAGUGAAUGCUCUACAUAGAGUAUUGUCUCAUUUAAUCCUCAGGUGGGUAUAAUUAUCCCCAUCAUACAGAUGUACAAAGAGGGUCCUAAAUGACCUACCCAAAAUCACAGUUACUGAAUGGCAGUACUGGGAUUUAUUUUGUAACCACCAUGUCAAAAAAGAUUCAUAAAAGAGAUCAAAACUAAUUAUUCAUACUAUGUUUAAUUGAGGAAACAAAGACUUCUGGAGAAGACAAAUUCUUCAGUGGCUGCUAAACCUUACUGAUACUCUUCAGAAGAGGAUGCAGAAGUGAAACUAUAUUGAAAAUUUGCAUUAUGAAUAAGGAAAGAAAAAAUAAAGUCCUUGGAAAUCAAGUAAACUAAGCAUAGUGACAAAGUCAGAAAUAACUGGCUCAACUGUAACAAGUAAAGAUGUGGGGCCCUUGUAAGGAGCCUUAGUAACACAAUCGAAGCGUGCAUUUUCUUCUAGUUUAUGCACGGCACAAGCCAGGUAUUAGGAGAGCCUGAAAGGAGUGUGACUGAAUUGUGCCGACUUGUGGAGAACCCAUCUCCUCCAUCUCCCUCCUCAAAUGGGAAGUUGUUCAGACAGCUCGUUUUUUCUUUCCAAAUUGUCCAAUUUGAGAAGAAAAAUCAAACUGCUAUAACAACCUUGGCUCCAUAUGUCUGUAUUUUUGAUCCUUUAUCACAUGGAAACUAACCACUUCUAACCCACAGGACACAAAGGAGACUAAGAUUCACCAGUCACCAAACAAGGCCCUACUCCCCAAUGGUAGCACCAUGUGCCUGCCUCCAUCUUGAGAAAAGGAGUGAGCAACCAGCCAAAAUUAUACACUGCCAGUAACCUCAAAAUCUGGGCAAUUCUAGAAUGUGGGAAAUUUUACUCAACAAAUGGAAUGUGACAAUUAUUUGGUUUUAUACUUGCAUGUAUUAGGCUUUCUAUUCAUGGUGAAAGUACGAGGUUUGAAGCAGAGUAGAGAUUAUAUAAAGAGUAUUCUGUAAACCCACUGGAGCUUUUUUUCCCUCACAUGUAUAUUAGAGCAAAUAACAUUCCCCCCAAUUAGGGAAAGAAAGAAACUGAUGUAAUGGGACUGAGACCUCUGCUUGGAUUCGUUGUUGCUUAAACUUAAAAACUAGCUGAGGAUGAAUGAGGCACGUUAGGGCAGAAUUAGUGCUAAAUAAUGAGAAUGCAUUCUUCUCCAAUCUUUGAGAGACCAUUUAAAAAUCCAAAGAAACCUGUAAAGAGUGUAAUUAAAAUAAUCUCAGUCUACUUUUAAUCUGGUGACCUACCCUCAUAUCUCAUUAGGUUUCAAGUCAAAUUAAAAGCCAACGGCACAAGACGUGUUCCUGUCCUCACCUGUAAGCUUCAUCUAAAGACAUAUCCAUCCUCUUCAUGAUGUAGGCAAUCGCGAUGGUGGCAGAGCGUGAGAUCCCAGCUAAGCAGUGCACUAGGACACAUCCAUUGGAGGCUUUUGCUUUCUCUGUGUUAGGUGAUUGGAGUCCUUAAGCAAAUCACACCCAAAUGUAUCAUCUACCACUACAGUUUCCAUCUCUUUAAAAAAGAGCAAGAACUUGUGAAGCAACAUCAGUACAGACUCCUUCUAUAUUACAUCUACCCUCAAAAUAUUUCACAUAUGCUUUACUACCACCUAAUCUGACAGAAAAAAAAAAAUGUUACUCUUUCCAAAACAUUUAACCUAGGUCAUAGAAAAACAACUCUCUUCCCUCACUUGUAUUUCAUCAUUGUAAUAUUUAAUUAAUGUAUGUAAUUAUAAUAACAAGUACAGUGGCCUAAACAGGUUUGAGAAUGAGCACAACUGACUCCUGCUUGGGAAGCACGUGGUUGGAGUGGGGAAAGCAGAAGGGCUACAGCCAGCGGCCCACUGCUAGAGAGGCAGGAGUGGAGAUGUCACAGUCCCUUCAGUCAGUUAAGAAAGUCUCUACUGAAGUUUCAAAUAACUAUUCUAUUAACUUGCUCUCUGGAUUAUUUUUUCUUGAUUUUCUUCUUUUUUGAUGUACAUACACAGGUGGCCAAGGGAGCAUUUAUUUAUUUAUUUAUUUAUCUGUUGACAGUGGAAAUGGGAUGGAACCACAAUCAUGAAGAAAGAGUCUAUUUUACAGAAUCAUGAUUGUUUUUAUUCACAGAUGGAUGUCAAUAACUUCUGACUAAAUUAUAAAGAGCCUCAAGUAGGAAAUUGCAUGUAGCAGACCAGAUGUAAAGAAGCAUUCCUCUGCAAAGCAAAAGAGAUGCCAUCCAGGAAUUUUAAAAAGUCCUAAGCAUGAUUGUUCUGUAAACCCAAUAAAGAAAAAAAAAAAGAAGAUUCUGGUUUUAGAAUGCAAUUAAGUAAAAUUGCAAAAAUAAUUAUCUGAGUCAAAAAAUAAAACCUCAUUUUAUUGUUUCCA